AUUGAACGCUGGCGGCAUGCUUUACACAUGCAAGUCGAACGGUAACAGGGAGCUUGCUCCGCUGACGAGUGGCGAACGGGUGAGUAAUGCAUCGGAACGUACCCAGCCGUGGGGGAUAACGUAGCGAAAGUUACGCUAAUACCGCAUACGUCCUGAGGGAGAAAGCGGGGGACCGUAAGGCCUCGCGCGAUUGGAGCGGCCGAUGUCGGAUUAGCUAGUUGGUGGGGUAAAGGCCUACCAAGGCGACGAUCCGUAGCGGGUCUGAGAGGAUGAUCCGCCACACUGGGACUGAGACACGGCCCAGACUCCUACGGGAGGCAGCAGUGGGGAAUUUUGGACAAUGGGGGCAACCCUGAUCCAGCCAUGCCGCGUGAGUGAAGAAGGCCUUCGGGUUGUAAAGCUCUUUCAGACGGAAAGAAAACGACA
rnacentral:rRNA from 1 species